rnacentral:rRNA from 1 species
UGGGGAAUUUUGGACAAUGGGCGAAAGCCUGAUCCAGCAAUGCCGCGUGUGUGAAGAAGGCCUUCGGGUUGUAAAGCACUUUUGUCCGGAAAGAAAUCCUUGGCUCUAAUACAGUCGGGGGAUGACGGUACCGGAAGAAUAAGCACCGGCUAACUACGUGCCAGCAGCCGCGGUAAUACGUAGGGUGCAAGCGUUAAUCGGAAUUACUGGGCGUAAAGCGUGCGCAGGCGGUUUGCUAAGACCGAUGUGAAAUCCCCGGGCUCAACCUGGGAACUGCAUUGGUGACUGGCAGGCUAGAGUAUGGCAGAGGGGGGUAGAAUUCCACGUGUAGCAGUGAAAUGCGUAGAGAUGUGGAGGAAUACCGAUGGCGAAGGCAGCCCCCUGGGCCAAAUACUGACGCUCAUGCACGAAAGCGUGGGGAGCAAAACAGGAUUAGAUACCCUGGUAGUCCACGCCCUAAAACGAUGUCAACUAGUUGUUGGGGAUUCAUUUCCUUAGUAACGUAGCUAACGCGUGAAGUUGACCGCCUGGGGGAGUACGGUCGCAAGAUUAAAAACUCAAAUGAAUUGACGGGGUCAUAGCUG